rnacentral:lncRNA from 1 species
AAAGACAACAAAAACAAAACAUGGGAAAUAGACAUUUGAAAUUCUACAAUGAACUCAUCAGGGAUGCAAAUGAAAGUGCCUGUGCCGAGACAGAAAACCCGCAAUCGAGCAUCAUCGACUCGCAGGGUGAACAAAAUGGUGAUAUCAGAAGAACAGAUGAAGUUACAAUCCACCAAGGAAACGGCACAUGUGGAGAGCCAGGGAGAGGAAGAGAAAGAAAAAGAGACAGAGAUCAGAGAGAGACACAGAAAGUGAGACUGGGGAGAGAGAGAGUGUAAAAGAGAGAGAGAGAGAGACCGUAAGAGAAGGGAGACAAAGAGAUAAAAGCUGCGAGUGAGCAGUCUACAGGUGUAUCCAGCAGCUCCAGAGAGACAGCGACCAGCGAGAAGGGGCCAUGAUGAUGGUGGUGGUUUUGUCAAAACGAAAAGGGGGAUAUGCAGGGAAAAGAAAGAGAGAUCAGACUGUUACUGUGUCUACAUAGAAAGGGAAGACAUAAGAGACUCCAUUUGGAAAAAGACCUGUACUUUAAACAAUAGCUUUGCUGAGAUGUUGUUAAUCUGUAGCUUUGCCCAAGCCACUUUGCCCCAACCACUUUGACCCAAUCUGGAGCUCACAAAAACAUGUGUUGUAUGAAAUCAAGGUUUAAGGCAUGUAGGGCUGUGCAGGACGUGCCUUGUUAACCAAAUGUUUGCAAGCAGUAUACUUGGUAAAAGCCAUCACCAUUCUCUUGUCUCAAUAAACCAGGGGCACAAUGCACUGUGGAAAGCCGCAGGGACCUCUGCCCUUGAAAGCUGGGUAUUGUUCAAAGUUUCUCCCCAUGUGAUAGUCUGAAAUAUGGCCUUGUGGGAUGAGAAAGACCUGACGGUCCCCCAGCCCGACACCCAUAAAAGGUCUGUGCUGAGGUGGAUUAGUCAAAGAGGAAAGACUCUUGCAGUUGAGAUAGAGGAAGGCCACUGUCUCCUGCCUGCCCCUGGGAACUGAAUGUCUCGGUAUAAAACACGAUUGUACAUUUGUUCAAUUCUGAGAUGGGAGAAAAACCGCCCUAUGGUGGGAGGAGAGACAUGUUUACAGCAAUACUGCCUUGUUAUUCUUUACUCCACUGAGAUGUUUGGGUGGAAAGAAAAAUAAAUCUGGCUUACAUGCACGUUCAGUCAUAGUACCUUCCCUUGAACUUCAUCAUGACAUAGAUUCUAUUGCUCACAUGUUUGUUGCUGACCUUCUUCUUAUUAUCACCCUGCCCUCCUACUACAUUCCUUUUUGCUGAAAUAAUAAAGAUAGUAUUCAAUAAAAACUGAGGGAACUCAGAG